AAUAUAAAGAUUAAAACAAUGAAUGUAACCUCAGAUAGUUGACCAGAUAACUGGAUGAGAGAUCUGCGUAAAGUAGUCAACCUCUGUUCUUGACCAGAUAACUGGAAGAGGGAUCUUUUUAAUUAGGUGUUGUUUUUAAGCAAAAGAUAGAACUAAAAUUAACAGAAAACAACACAAGAGAUUUAUACUGGUUCACCCAAACACGGGCUAGUCCAGUCCCGACCCACUGCCGGAUUUCACUCGCCUAAAGGUAAUGGCAAAACCUUUUCUAAGCUUUAAGGCUACUACGCUUAGGAACCAGUCUUUUACGGGUAGACUCACACCUUAGAGUAUUACAGGGCACUCUUAAGAACCUCUAACUUUUACGGGUAAGUUAGUACCUUAGAGUAUUCAAGGAACUCUUAAAAACCUCUCUAAGCUUUAAGGCUACUACGCUUAGGAACCAGUCUUUUACGGGUAGACUCACACCUUAGAGUAUUAAAGGGCACUCUUAAGAACCUCUCUAAGCUUUAAGGCUACUUCGCUUAGGAACCAGUCUUUUACAGGUAGACUCACACCUAAGAGUUUUCCUGGAAACUCUAUAAAACCAAACAGAGCUUUAUGGUUGAGCUCACAAACCUUUCCUCACACUUUGGUACUAUUGAGACAACCCUCUCAACCAAAGUGGACACACACAAGAGGUGAUUAGAGGAGUGGAAUAUCAAAGCAAACAACACUUCUUACUUGUACAAAUGACCAAGAAGAUUAGAAGAAGAAGUUGGAGAGCUUUUGAAGCUUUGGAAAGCUAGGACACUUGAGCACUUGGAAGCUUGAAAGCUUGAUGGCAAAAACGUGUGGAGUGGAAGCUCUUGAGUUUGCUUAUGGUGUGGUGAGUGGAAAUGAGGGGAUUACCCUUCUAUUUAUAGCCUUGGCCACUCAAUGUCCAUCCUUGGAUCUUCAAUGGAUGGCUCCUUGAUUUCUCACAUAAAUCCAAGAUUUGUCUUUGAAUAGUGUUUGCCUUGGAUAGUGUUGUGUCUCCU
rnacentral:lncRNA from 1 species